rnacentral:rRNA from 1 species
GAUGAACGCUGGCGGCGUGCCUAAUACAUGCAAGUAGAACGCUGAAGCUUGGUGCUUGCACCGAGCGGAUGAGUUGCGAACGGGUGAGUAACGCGUAGGUAACCUGCCUCUUAGCGGGGGAUAACUAUUGGAAACGAUAGCUAAUACCGCAUAAAAGUCGAUAUCGCAUGAUAUUGAUUUGAAAGGUGCAAAUGAUUCACUAAGAGAGGGACCUGCGUUGUAUUAGCUAGUUGGGGAGGUAACGGCUCACCAAGGCGACGAUACAUAGCCGACCUGAGAGGGUGAUCGGCCACACUGGGACUGAGACACGGCCCAGACUCCUACGGGAGGCAGCAGUAGGGAAUCUUCGGCAAUGGGGGCAACCCUGACCGAGCAACGCCGCGUGAGUGAAGAAGGGUUUCGGAUCGUAAAGCUCUGUUGUAAGAGAAGAACGAGUGUGAGAGUGGAAAGUUCACACUGUGACGGUAACUUACCAGAAAGGGACGGCUAACUACGUG